rnacentral:rRNA from 1 species
GACAGAGGGUGCGAACGUUGUUCGGAAUCACUGGGCGUAAAGGGCGUGUAGGCGGCCUCCGCAAGUCAGUUGUGAAAUCUCCGAGCUUAACUCGGAAAGGUCAACUGAUACUGCGGGGCUAGAGUGCGGAAGGGGCAACUGGAAUUCUUGGUGUAGCGGUGAAAUGCGUAGAUAUUCGGAAGAACACCAGUGGCGAAGGCGACUCACUGGACAUGUAUUGACGCUGAGGUGCGAAAGCGUGGGGAGCAAACAGG